UUAAUUGAAGAGUUUGAUCAUGGCUCAGAUUGAACGCUGGCGGCAGGCCUAACACAUGCAAGUCGAGCGGCAGCACAGAGGAACUUGUUCCUUGGGUGGCGAGCGGCGGACGGGUGAGUAAUGCCUGGGAAAUUGCCCGGUAGAGGGGGAUAACCAUUGGAAACGAUGGCUAAUACCGCAUAACCUCGCAAGAGCAAAGCAGGGGACCUUCGGGCCUUGCGCUACCGGAUAUGCCCAGGUGGGAUUAGCUAGUUGGUGAGGUAAGGGCUCACCAAGGCGACGAUCCCUAGCUGGUCUGAGAGGAUGAUCAGCCACACUGGAACUGAGACACGGUCCAG
rnacentral:rRNA from 1 species